GAAUACCUAAAAUUCUAAUUCAAAAUUUUGAAAGCAACUAAGGCUAAAAAAGAAAAAGAAAAUUAAAUAACAAGAGCUUGGUUCAACAAGCGUAAAGACUAUCAAUAAUUUUUUCCAUAACUACAAAUUUUUAAGCAAUUUGUUCAAACAAAUCUCAAUUUAUUCUUCUAAAACUUCCAGCCAAACUAAAACUUGUAGAAUGUAGAUACAUAAAAAUGAGAACCUAAGUGGAUAAAGGAGAAAAAAAAAAGAUUAAAAGCAGUAUGUAUACAAUUAGAUAAGGCCUAAUAAGCAAUAAGCAUGAGAUCUCAUUUAAACUUAGAAAUUAAAAUGGAUGCUGACUGCCGAUGCAACCUAAAUUUCAUUUAUGGGGAUUUUGUACAUGGUAUUUAUUUAUUUAGCAUAUAUUUUAC
rnacentral:misc_RNA from 1 species